AGCAGCCGCGGUAAUUCCAGCUCCAAUAGCGUAUAUUAAAGUUGUUGCAGUUAAAAAGCUCGUAGUUGAAUUUCGGGACCAAUUUGUUGGUCGUGCCUCGGUACGUACUGGUAUUAUUGGUUUUUCCCUUCUGAAGAACCUCGAUGCCAUUAAUUUGGUGUCGUGGGGAAUCAGGACUGUUACUUUGAAAAAAUUAGAGUGUUUAAAGCAAGCAUACGCUUGAAUACAUUAGCAUGGAAUAAUGAAAUAGGACGUUUGAUUCUAUUUUGUUGGUUUCUAGGAUCGACGUAAUGAUUAAUAGGGAUAGUUGGGGGCAUUAGUAUUCAAUUGUCAGAGGUGAAAUUCUUGGAUUUAUUGAAGACUAACUACUGCGAAAGCAUUUGCCAAGGAUGUUUUCAUUAAUCAAGAACGAAAGUUAGGGGAUCGAAGACGAUCAGAUACCGUCGUAGUCUUAACCAUAAACUAUGCCGACUAGGGAUCGGAUGAUGUUAAUUUUUAAUGACUCAUUCGGCGCCUUACG
rnacentral:rRNA from 1 species